AUGAUUAUUAAGGACAAGGAGAAGGAGAAGAAGAAGCAGGAGACGGUGGUGGAUUCCGGCGAGUCGGAGAUGGGCAGGGAUUCGGCGCAGCACCAGUCCCUGAUGGAGGAGAUCAUAUCCGUGGAGAGGGAGCGCAAAGACCUGCUUGCCUCACUUUCUCCCACCUUUUCUCUCUGGAAAGAGAUUGAUUCUCAAACAACCUGGACCAUCGCCACAACUACUUUUUCUAGGGACAACAAUGAGAAUCCACUUGCAGACUACUUGAACCUCAUCCUCCAAGCUAUGGAGGACCUGGGUCAUCGGAUGCUUUCUACAUUAUAUUUUCUCAACAAAUCCGAUGACUCCGUCUGCUCCUACAAGGCCACUGAAUUGUGCAAUACAGCAACCAAACUGAAUAUGCACAUCAAGGGAUUCAGCCCCAAGCCUGAGCCGGAGCCAGAGCCAGAGCCAGAGGAGCAGCCGGGGCAGAUCGAUUUGUCGAGUCUUUUCAGAAAAUAUUGUCGAUUUCCUGAUAAUUACAACAACACCUUGGCCCGGUUAGAUAUGGAGGAGCAUGAGGAGAACAAAUGUGAGGAUGUUCAUGUGAAGAAGACCAAGGAAGAGGAGGACAAGGAGAAGGACGUAUCCUCAAAGGAGUAUCUCAAGAAAAGGAUGGACAUCGAGCAACAAUUUUUAGCCAAUCAUCGAAAAUCCUGGGAAAAUGUGUGGGGCAGCAGGAUUGGAUGGUGCGGUGGAUUUAUGGAUACAACCAUAUUGAGCCCUAUGCAAUUUACACAUCACACACCUGGUAGCAUCCCUUCCCCUGCUGCCAUCACCGGCAGUACCUUGCAAAUCUAUUCAAUCAAGAUAAAGAGUAUAAAAGGCUUGAACUGGCCACUCAGAGUGUAUGGCGAGGUUGCUGCUCGAGACACUGUGGACCGCAACCGCAACAUUCUAUUUUCUCGGUCAAGGUUUGACUACCAAGAACUCAAUGGAGAAGAUGAUUGCUUAUGCUUGACUGGUCCGUCUCGUGCAAUUGUUGCCUUGGACCAUGUUGAGUUUGAAGUUGAUCUCCAAGUAGCCAAUGGAGGAGAGUCUCAAACAUUGAUCAGCUGUAGAGGUUGUUAUGGUUUUUUCUCUUCCUUGGCCAGCGUAACUGAUGGUGAUGAUGGAUGUACCUUGUCGUUCUCCAACAAGAGCUGUAGAGUUGAGGUAACCCUUGACCAGAUUGAUAAAUCACUCCAGGCUACUAUCGUGGGCGUACAUGUUACCAAAGGGCGUUGGCCUUUUAAGUAUGGAUGCCGAGUUGUGUGUUCUUGGUCUCCUGCUGCGGCGACAGAUGUCAUUGGUAAGACUUGCAGGCGAGUUGUGCUUCUUGAUCACCGUGGUAAAGGAAUGCACAGAAGACCAGACAAGCACCUUCAUCUCUCAAGGAGAGUCGUUUCAGUGGAAUCACAUGGAAUGUUGAGAGUGUCCAUAGAAGCAUAUGGAAAAUCUCGUCGCUGUAUUGCUCGAGAAGGUCACAUCAACUUCCCUGUUCAGCAGUGCCAAACAAGAAGGAUUGAGUGUCAAGUUGGCGACUCCACGGUGGAGGUUGCUGUAGGCUGGUCGUUGCUUGUGAAGGAAAAAGCACUCUUGACCGUGAUGAGGCAGUCCAGGAUGGAGAUGGAGAUGGAGAUGGAUUCUGAUUCUGAUUCUGACUCUGGCUCCGGCUCCUGUUCUGGCCAUGAGAUGGACGAGAGGGAUUCCAGCAAGGAGCGAGUGAGGGAUGCCAGCGGCAAGGAGAUUGUGCAGAUGGCCAAUGACUUGGUUGGUGUUCUUUCCGGCCACCUUGGGAUGCUUAAGAGGGAGAUCUCGUUCCUAAGGACAGAGGUCAAGUCCCGGGGAUUGGCUGGAAACAGGGCUUGUCAAGAGCAGAUCAUGUCUAACCUAGGGCCCCUCGAUGAAAAUCUUCUCAAGAAGGUGAAUUUGCCUUACCUAGGUUCCAACACUGAGGAGGUGAUGGAUUUUCUGCUGGUCGAGACGCAGCAGUUGCUCUACCGCUUCAACUCUCUCGCAUCCAUUCUACAAAAAGUCAGAAUCCCCAUAUCUUCCGACAAGAUUGAUAAGCUGCGUCUCAUAUCCAAUGCACUUGUGGGCAUCUCGGAGCUUAUUAUCAAGAGGCACAAAUCUGUUGCUUCUGACAGUGCCGGCUGGGAGGCUACAUGGGGAAGCUCGACAGGAAGACAUGGUUGCUUUGACGACAUAACAACAUUGAGUCCUAUGCAGUUUACGGCUUCCACGCCUGGAAGCUUCCCAUCCUCCUCCGUGGCUGGUCCUGCCUUGGAGAUCUACUCAAUCAAGCUCAUUAAUCUGAAUCCUAAUCUGAGUUGGCCCAUUGAUGUCUAUGGCGUGGUCGCUGCACGGGAUGAUUUUGACCACAACCGCAACAUUCUCUUCUGCCGGUCAAGUGCAGACUGCCAAAGAAUUAACCAAGAGGACCCUUUUUUGCACUUGAUUGGCCCGUCUCGUGCAAUUGUAGCUGAAGAACCUGUGAUGUUUCAAAUUGAACUGAAAUUGAAGUAUGGAGCAAAUUUCAAAGAUACAGCAUUGUUCACUUCCAACCAAAGUUAUCGCUCCAUCAUGCCAUAUGAUACCAUGCAGAUCUAUAACCGCUGUUGUACAGCAGAGAUAAGCCUUGGGCGAGUUGAUCCAGCAAUCCAGGCCACAAUUGUAGGUGUUUGUGUGACUAAAGGGGAGUGGCCUUUUAAGUAUGGAUGUAAAGUUUCUUGCUUGUUUUCUCCUGCUGAUGCAACGGAGGGAUGCGUGGCAGAAGUCGUUUUGCUUGACCGCCGUGCUAAAAGGAUGCGUGCGGGAUCAGAUGGGUAUCUUUCUUUGUCAAGAAAUGUCGUGUCAGUGGGAUUGCAGGGCACACUCCGAGUCGUCACAGAAGCAUACUCAAAGUCUGGACUCAAUAUUGUUCGAAAAUAUCACGCUGAAUUUCCUAUCCAGCAGUGUCAGAUAGAUAGUUGUGAGUGCUCAGUUGACGGCUCCACAUUGAAGAUAGUUGUUGCUUGGUCUCGCCUUGCCAUUGACAAGGAUGAUCUUGUAAACGAUGGUUAUUGA
rnacentral:rRNA from 1 species